UGCCGGAUAAGUAUUGCAUUCGUACAUCGGGUUUUCAACUUGAAAGACUUUUAAGAUAAAAGAUUCGGUAA
rnacentral:tRNA from 1 species